UACGGGGGGGGCAAGCGUUGUUCGGAAUUACUGGGCGUAAAGGGCCAGUAGGCGGCCAACUAAGUCGGAUGUGAAAUCCCCGGGCUCAACCUGGGAACUGCAUUUGUGACUGCAUCGCUGGAGUGCGGCAGAGGGGGAUGGAAUUCCGCGUGUAGCAGUGAAAUGCGUAGAUAUGCGGAGGAACACCGAUGGCGAAGGCAAUCCCCUGGGCCCGCACUGACGCUCAUGCACGAAAGCGUGGGGAGCAAACAGG
rnacentral:rRNA from 1 species